AGAGUUUGAUCCUGGCUCAGAGCGAACGCUGGCGGCAGGCCUAACACAUGCAAGUCGAGCGGCCGUAGCAAUACGGCAGCGGCAGACGGGAGAGUAACACGUGGGAACGCGCCCUUCGGUUCGGGAUAACCCAGGGAAACUUGGGCUAAUACCGGAUACGCCCUUACGGGGAAAGAUUUAUUGCCGAAGGAACGGCCCGCGUCCGAUUAGCUAGUUGGUGAGGUAAUGGCUCACCAAGGCGACGAUCGGUAGCUGGUCUGAGAGGAUGACCAGCCACAUUGGGACUGAGACACGGCCCAAACUCCUACGGGAGGCAGCAGUGGGGAAUAUUGGACAAUGGGCGCAAGCCUGAUCCAGCCAUGCCGCGUGAGUGAUGAAGGCCCUAGGGUUGUAAAGCUCUUUUGUGCGGGAAGAUAAUGACGGUACCGCAAGAAUAAGCCCCGGCUAACUUCGUGCCAGCAGCCGCGGUAAUACGAAGGGGGCUAGCGUUGCUCGGAAUCACUGGGCGUAAAGGGUGCGUAGGCGGGUCUUUAAGUCAGGGGUGAAAUCCUGGAGCUCAACUCCAGAACUGCCUUUGAUACUGAGGAUCUUGAGUUCGGGAGAGGUGAGUGGAACUGCGAGUGUAGAGGUGAAAUUCGUAGAUAUUCGCAAGAACACCAGUGGCGAAGGCGGCUCACUGGCCCGAUACUGACGCUGAGGCACGAAAGCGUGGGGAGCAAACAGGAUUAGAUACCCUAGUAGUCC
rnacentral:rRNA from 1 species